GAUGAACGCUGGCGGCGUGCCUAAUACAUGCAAGUCGAGCGAACAGACGAGGAGCUUGCUCCUCUGACGUUAGCGGCGGACGGGUGAGUAACACGUGGAUAACCUACCUAUAAGACUGGGAUAACUUCGGGAAGCCGGAGCUAAUACCGGAUAAUAUAUUGAACCGCAUGGUUCAAUAGUGAAAGACGGUUUUGCUGUCACUUAUAGAUGGAUCCGCGCCGCAUUAGCUAGUUGGUAAGGUAACGGCUUACCAAGGCAACGAUGCGUAGCCGACCUGAGAGGGUGAUCGGCCACACUGGAACUGAGACGCGGUCCAGACUCCUACGGGAGGCAGCAGUAGGGAAUCUUCCGCAAUGGGCGAAAGCUUGACGGAGCAACGCCGCGUGAGUGAUGAAGGUCUUCGGAUCGUAAAACUCUGUUAUUAGGGAAGAACAAAUGUGUAAGUAACUAUGCACGUCUUGACGGUACCUAAUCAGAAAGCCACGGCUAACUACGUG
rnacentral:rRNA from 1 species